rnacentral:lncRNA from 1 species
AAAGUGAAGAAAAAAUUCAAAACAGAAUCUAAAACUCAACAUGAAUCAUCUUUAAACAAUCAUGAAUAUGUCCUAAAAAGGACCAAAUCAAAAUCACUAAGCAAGGGCAUGUAAUAAGCAAGAGGAGUCAAAGGCAAAUUCAAUGCAUUCAAAUGGACAUACAAGAUGAGAAAAUGCACAUUAAAUCAGAAAUGGCUCAAAC